AGGGGUGUGGGGCCUUCAGCAGCGGGCAUGGCCUCCCCAUGCGGGGGAGACGCUGGCUGGCCCUGGGGCGGCAAGGUGACUGGCCACCUCAAGAGACCCUCAUCACGAGGGGGACAAACACUGUUACCUGGACCUCAGCUUCUGUCGCGGCCCAACCUGGCCAGGAACGUACCUUCAGGAGGGAAAGGUUGAUUCCUAACCCCCAGAACCUCCAAACAUGACUCUUUGAAGGUGGGGUCUCUGAAGAGGUAAUAAGAUGAAAGGAAGCCAGGAACAUGGACCCUAAUACGAUCUGGCCAGUGUCCUUACAAAAAGAGGAGAUUAUGACACAGAUACUCACAGAAGGAUGACCAUCUGAGGAUGUAGGGAGGAGAUGGCCGUGUUCACGCCGAGGAGAGAGGCCCCACGAGAAACCAGCCCUACCCACACCUUGGUCCUGAACUUCCAGCAUCUGGAACUGUGAGAAAAUAAAUUGUCAAUUGUUUAAGCCA